AACGGAAGCGACGAAGAAGAAGACUUCGAUGGCUGAGAAAAGAUGGUGGAGCCGCUAUCACCCACUUUUUAAUUUCAAUUUUGUGUUGUGUUUUUAUCUUUCCGAUGUGGUUGGGUGACUUGCCGGCGACGAUGAUUUCGUGAACCUGGCUCAGGCAAUGGUUGAUUAAGAAUUUGUGAAAUUAUUUUUUGAUUUAGAUAACAUAAAUGUUAGUAGUUAUUUAUAUAUGAUUAUUUGUGUUUAAACGGAUUCUCAAUUUUAUAUCAUCAUUGAAGAUACAUAUUUGGUUAAACAUACACAACUAAUUGAUAAAUAUUGUAUAAGAUGUAUC
rnacentral:lncRNA from 1 species